GCGACGCCGCGUGAGGGAUGAAGGCCUUCGGGUUGUAAACCUCUGUCAGAGAGGACGAAGAUAUCCCAAUUUUGGGAUAGGACGGUACUCUCAGAGGAAGCCACGGCCAACUCCGUGCCAGCAGCCGCGGUAAUACGGAGGUGGCAAGCGUUAUCCGGAUUCAUUGGGCGUAAAGGGCGUGUAGGUGUCUCCAUAAGUCGGAUGUGAAAUCCUUCUGCUCAACAGAAGAACGGCAUUCGAAACUGUGGGGAUUGAGUACAGGAGAGGAGAGUGGAAUUCCUGGUGUAGCGGUGAAAUGCGUAGAUAUCAGGAGGAACACCGGUGGCGAAGGCGACUCUCUGGUCUGAUACUGACACUGAAACGCGAAAGCUAGGGGAGCAAACAGGAUUAGAUACCCUGGUAGUCCUAGCUGUAAACGAUGCUCACUAGGUGUGGGAGGUAUCGAUUCCUUCUGUGCCGCAGCUAACGCAUUAAGUGAGCCGCCUGGGGAGUACGACCGCAAGGUUGAAACUCAAAGGAAUUGACGGGGGCCCGCACAAGCGGUGGAGCAUGUGGUUCAAUUCGACGCUACGCGAAAAACCUUACCGAGAUUUGACAUGUACUUGUAAUCCGUCUGAAAGGACGGACCUCCUUCGG
rnacentral:rRNA from 1 species